GAUGAAGAACGUAGCGAAAUGCGAUACUUGGUGUGAAUUGCAGAAUCCCGUGAACCAUCGAGUCUUUGAACGCAAGUUGCGCCCGAAGCCAUUAGGCCGAGGGCACGCCUGCCUGGGCGUCACACGUCGUUGCCCCCCCAUCUACUCCUUCGGGAUUGCGGGGGGCGGAUGAUGGCCUCCCGUGCGCCUCGUCGCGCGGUUGGCCUAAAUGCCAAGUCCUCGGCGACGCACGCCACGACAAUCGGUGGUUGCGAAACCUCGGUUGCCCGUCGUGUGCGGUCGUCGCGCAUCGAGGGCUCGAAAAAAUUGCCGGGCUUCGGCUCGACUUUCAACGCGACCCCAGGUCAGGCGGGGUUACCCGCUGAAUUUAAGCACAUCAAUAAGCGGAGGA
rnacentral:misc_RNA from 1 species